AGACGAACCGUGCGAACGUUGUUCGGAAUCACUGGGCUUAAAGGGCACGUAGGCGGGCGAUCAAGUCGGAGGUGAAAGCCCAUGGCUCAACCAUGGAAGUGCCCCCGAUACUGGUUGCCUCGAGGGAGAUAGGGGCGUGCGGAACUUCCGGUGGAGCGGUGAAAUGCGUAGAUAUCGGAAGGAACACCGGUGGCGAAAGCGGCGCGCUGGAUCUCUACUGACGCUGAGGCGCGAAAGCCAGGGGAGCAAACGGGAUUAGAUACCCCGGUAGUCCUGGCCCUAAACGAUGGGUACCAGGUAGUGGACUUACAUGGGUUCACUGCCGAGGCAAAAGUGAUAAGUACCCCGCCUGGGGAGUAUGGUCGCAAGGCUGAA
rnacentral:rRNA from 1 species